rnacentral:rRNA from 1 species
CCUACGGGAGGCAGCAGUGAGGAAUAUUGGUCAAUGGGCGGGAGCCUGAACCAGCCAAGCCGCGUGAGGGAAGAAGGUACAGCGUAUCGUAAACCUCUUUUGUCAGGGAACAAAGGCGGGGACUAGUCCCCGGAUGAGGGUACCUGAAGAAAAAGCAUCGGCUAACUCCGUGCCAGCAGCCGCGGUAAUACGGGGGAUUCGAGCGUUAUCCGGAUUUAUUGGGUUUAAAGGGUGCGCAGGCGGAGGUGCAAGUCAUCGGUCAAAGUGCGGGGCUCAACCCCGUACUGCCGGUGAUACUGCAUGCCUUGAGUGCGCGAGAAGUAUGCGGAAUGCGUGGUGUAGCGGUGAAAUGCAUAGAUAUCACGCAGAACUCCGAUUGCGAAGGCAGCAUACCGGCGCGCAACUGACGCUCAUGCACGAAAGCGUGGGUAUCGAACAGGAUUAGAUACCCGUGUAGUC